UACGUAGGCAGCAAGCGUUGUUCGGAGUUACUGGGCGUAAAGAGUGCGUAGGCGGUUCCGUAAGUUUGGUGUGAAAUCUCCCGGCUUAACUGGGAGGGUGCGCCGAAAACUGCGGGGCUGGAGUGUGGGAGAGGUAAGCGGAAUUCCUGGUGUAGCGGUGAAAUGCGUAGAUAUCAGGAGGAACACCGGCGGUGUAGACGGCUUACUGGACCAUGACUGACGCUGAGGCACGAAAGCGUGGGGAGCAAACAGG
rnacentral:rRNA from 1 species